rnacentral:rRNA from 1 species
UACGGAGGAUGCGAGCGUUAUCCGGAUUUAUUGGGUUUAAAGGGUGCGUAGGCGGGUUAUCAAGUCAGCGGUAAAAUCGUGGAGCUCAACUCCAUCCAGCCGUUGAAACUGAUGAUCUUGAGUGGGCGAGAAGUAUGCAGAAUGCGUGGUGUAGCGGUGAAAUGCAUAGAUAUCACGCAGAACUCCGAUUGCGAAGGCAGCAUACCGGCGCCCGACUGACGCUGAAGCACGAAAGCGUGGGUAUCGAACAGG